GGGCCCGUAGCCUAGCCUGGAUAGGGCGUCGGCCUUCGGAGCCGGAGGUCCGGGGUUCGAAUCCCCGCGGGCCCA
rnacentral:tRNA from 2 species